rnacentral:sRNA from 1 species
GCACCGGAAAAAGACGGUGCCGGGUUUGGCGACCUGUUAUUGUGCGGCGGACAACCGCCAUCAGUGCGGUUUUUUA